GUGACUUUCUCUCUCCGUCCUCUAGGGGGCGAGCAGGCACAACCUGAUAUUUAAUGUUGCCGCUCCGCUGCCUCGCUCUUUCACCUCUGCAGCUGAGUCGCAGCAAAAUCCGCUGCCAUCCUCCCUCAAAAAACAACGAGAACAGCUCAGCGGGUUAUUAAUCUUGAACGACAUGGUCACUUGUGAGUAUGUGGUGUUGAAUUGUGUCGCCGUGCUGCGAUAAUGAAGGAGCAGUUUUGGACUAAAACCUCCUCACCGGGUGGAGACCAAGUGCCACCGAGAAUGCCUCGUCGCCACUCUGAUCAUAUGCCAUUUGGUGGAUGCUUCAAUCAGCCAGACGGAGGAUGAUGGCUGCGCAUCAAAAGAAAGUCCAGGCGAUAAUGAUGCACAAUCUGUCAUGAUAAUAUAGUCCUGACAAAUGGCUGCAAGAAUCCAGCUCCAACUGGAAGAGCGACAUCUACAUCGAAUUAUGGGUGAAAAUUGUCAAGGGUAGAGUUGGAGGAGGAGAAGCCAGGGAACAGGAAAUCGCAGAGGCGAGCCGAGACAAGCAAGGCUUUGACAAAUUAAUACACUGAAGGGAGUAAUCAAGUUUGGGAGUGCUUCAGUCAGACAUGUUGUGCCCUCUGGGCAGACCGUGGACCUUACAUUCAGACACAGGAAACAGCCUUUUGACUGUUGUGGUUUCUGCUGCUUUCUCUAGAUGAAUGUGCAAUCUGGAUACUGGCAUGUUUCAGCUGACAGCAGUGUUAUUCCUGUUUCCUUCUGCACAACAUUUAAACUGGAUUAAUUUGCAUGUAAUAUGUUUAAUUGACACAGUUGUCUGAAAAAAUAAAUGGGCCAUUGGCUGAAACAACA